AACGAACGCUGGCGGCAUGCCUAACACAUGCAAGUCGAACGAGAUCUUCGGGUCUAGUGGCGCACGGGUGCGUAACGCGUGGGAAUCUGCCCUUUGGUUCGGAAUAACAGUUGGAAACGACUGCUAAUACCGGAUGAUGACGAAAGUCCAAAGAUUUAUCGCCAGAGGAUGAGCCCGCGUAGGAUUAGCUAGUUGGUGUGGUAAAGGCGCACCAAGGCGAUGAUCCUUAGCUGGUCUGAGAGGAUGAUCAGCCACACUGGGACUGAGACACGGCCCAGACUCCUACGGGAGGCAGCAGUGGGGAAUAUUGGACAAUGGGCGAAAGCCUGAUCCAGCAAUGCCGCGUGAGUGAUGAAGGCCCUAGGGUUGUAAAGCUCUUUUACCCGGGAAGAUAAUGACUGUACCGGGAGAAUAAGCCCCGGCUAACUCCGUGCCAGCAGCCGCAGUAA
rnacentral:rRNA from 1 species